GCAGUGGUGGUUCAGUGGUAGAAUUCUUGCCUUCCACGCAGGAGACCCUGGUUCAAUUCCCAGCCAGUGCA
rnacentral:tRNA from 1 species